CCGAGUGAGGGCCUCGAGCCCGACCUCCAACCCUUUGAAGUUACCCAACUCUGUUGCCUCGGGGGGCGACCCGGCCGCCGGGACCCCCGACGGACCACACCACUCUGCGUUUCUGCGUCGGAGUUUGAAGGGAAAUCAAUCA
rnacentral:misc_RNA from 1 species